UUCCGCCCCAUGGGGAAGGAUGAGAAGCUUCGACUAAGGUUCGACUCGAGCGAAGCGAGAGAACGUUGCCGCUGGCAACGGCCCGAAGGCGAGGCGCUUUAGCGCCGAGUAAUUCUUCCCCCACCACCA
rnacentral:sRNA from 1 species